rnacentral:pre_miRNA from 10 species
CUCUACUAUGAGAACUGAAUUCCAUAGAUGGCUCGCUCAGGUAUCGUCUAUGGGCUCAGUUCUUUUGGCAUGGUACUCAUUUUCCAAACAUAUU